rnacentral:rRNA from 1 species
GACGAAGGAUGCAAGCGUUAUCCGGAUUCAUUGGGUUUAAAGGGAGCGUAGGUGGCCUUAUAAGUCAGUGGUGAAAUCUCUGGGCUUAACCCAGAAAUUGCCAUUGAUACUGUAGGGCUUGAGUAUAGUUGCCGUUGGCGGAAUAUGACAUGUAGUGGUGAAAUACAUAGAGAUGUCAUAGAACACCGAUUGCGAAGGCAGCUGACGAAACUAUAACUGACACUGAGGCUCGAAACGUGCGGGGAUCAAACAGG